rnacentral:rRNA from 1 species
UACAGAGGGGGCAAGCGUUGUUCGGAAUUACUGGGCGUAAAGGGCGCGUAGGCGGCCUGCUAAGUCGGACGUGAAAUCCCCGGGCUCAACCCGGGAACUGCGUCCGAUACUGGCAGGCUUGAAUCCGGGAGAGGGAUGCGGAAUUCCAGGUGUAGCGGUGAAAUGCGUAGAUAUCUGGAGGAACACCGGUGGCGAAGGCGGCAUCCUGGACCGGCAUUGACGCUGAGGCGCGAAAGCCAGGGGAGCAAACGGG